rnacentral:rRNA from 1 species
CUACGGGGGGCUGCAGUGGGGAAUAUUGGACAAUGGGGAAACCCUGAUCCAGCAAUGCCGCGUGUGUGAAGAAGGCCUGCGGGUUGUAAAGCACUUUCGGUUGGGAGGACUGCUUCUAGCACUAAUAUUGUUGGAAGUUGACGUUACCUUCAGAAGAAGCACCGGCUAACUCCGUGCCAGCAGCCGCGGUAAUACGGAGGGUACAAGCGUUAAUCGGAAUUACUGGGCGUAAAGCGCGCGUAGGCGGCUAGAUCAGUCGGGUGUGAAAGCCCCGGGCUUAACCUGGGAACUGCAUCCGAUACUGGGUAGCUUGAGUACAGGAGAGGAGAGUGGAAUUCCACAUGUAGCGGUGAAAUGCGUAGAUAUGUGGAGGAACACCAAUGGCGAAGGCAGCUCUCUGGCCUGAUACUGACGCUGAGGUGCGAAAGCGUGGGGAGCAAACAGGAUUAGAUACCCCCGUAGUC